GAUGAACGCUAGCUACAGGCUUAACACAUGCAAGUCGAGGGGCAGCGGGAUUGAAGCUUGCUUCAAUUGCCGGCGACCGGCGCACGGGUGAGUAACGCGUAUCCAACCUUCCGUACACUCAGGGAUAGCCUUUCGAAAGAAAGAUUAAUACCUGAUGGUAUGAUGAGAUUGCAUGUUCACAUGAUUAAAGGUAUUCCGGUAGACGAUGGGGAUGCGUUCCAUUAGAUAGUAGGCGGGGUAACGGCCCACCUAGUCUUCGAUGGAUAGGGGUUCUGAGAGGAAGGUCCCCCCACAUUGGAACUGAGACACGGUCCAAACUCCUACGGGAGGCAGCAGUGAGGAAUAUUGGUCAAUGGGCGAGAGCCUGAUGCAGCGACGCCGCGUGAGCGAAGAAGUAUUUCGGUAUGUAAAGCUCUAUCAGCAGGGAAGAAAAUGACGGUACCUGACUAAGAAGCCCCGGNUAACGUACGUG
rnacentral:rRNA from 1 species